GGUUCCAAUUCCGUAACCUGUUGAGUAUCCGUUGUUAUUAAAUAUGGGCGUCGUGCUCAUCCUGCAACAGAAUGACCAUAAAGAAGCCGUCGAGAGGUAUCGGAAGAGUUUUUUUUUCUGUUUUAUAGCCGUACUACCAUGGAAGUCUUUCGCAGAGAGAUAUGGUAGAUGGGCUAGAAGAGCAUGACAUAUACUGUUGUGUCGAUAUUUUCUCCUCGGACCUUGAAAAUUUAUGGUGGGGAUACGCAAACUUCUCAACAGGCCGUACCAAUAUCCGCAGCUGGUCUCCAAGGUGAAGAGUCUCUAGUCGAUAGAAUAAUGUAGGUAAGGGAAGUCGGCAAAUUAGAUCCGUAACUUCGGGAUAAGGAUUGGCUCUGAAGAUUGAGAUAGUCGGGCUUGAUUGGGAAACAAUAACAUGGUUUAUGUGCUCGUUCUGGGUAAAUAGAGUUUCGAUCAUUUAUGAAAGUUAUUUGUUCCCCGGAUAGUUAGUUACGUAGCCAAUUGUGGAACUUUCUUGCUAAAACUUUUCAGAAUACUAAUUUUUAAUUAGUUCUUUUAAAUUAUAACGAUUAUCAAUUAACAAUCAAUUCAGAACUGGCACGGACUUGGGAAAUCCGACUGUCUAAUUAAAACAAAGCAUUGUGAUGGCCCUAGCGGGUGUUGACACAAUGUGAUUUCUGCCCAGUGCUCUGAAUUUCAAAGUGAAGAAAUUCAAGUAAGCGCGGGUCAACGGCGGGAGUAACUAUGACUCUCUUCCACAUCUUGCAAAAAUACUAUCGUACGCACGGGAGGCGGGUAGCUAGACACAACAGCGUAGUAAAUGCCGUCAAGAAUCACAUUUAUGUGAUAGACGUUCAGAUUGUGACAGACGGACAUUCCUUAGACCAAGCGUCGAAAGGUACGACAGAGCUGACAUAAGAUCACAAAUGCGGCGAUUUUUCGGAGUGACAGGUGAAAUCGAGUUUCAUUCCGUUACACUCAACUGGAGAGGAAUCUGGAGCGGUCAGUCGGUAAAACGAUUGAUUGCAAAAGAUCUCCUCAUCGCUGAAGAUACCAAACUCAUCAGCGUCCGAGCAGUAAAUGGCGGAGUGAUGUCUUUCAAAUAUUUCAUGUAUUGUGCUGGGUAUACUCGAAGCUAGAUGUACUAACCUCUAGUUUCUCUUAUACUUUUGCCUGCUACCUUGGUAUUCCAUCUAAAAAGGUACAAACAUCGCAUUGUCAAAAAGAGGUGGUUUUAGUACGUAGGCGCUGUGGGACUUCAUUGUCCCGAUGAUGCAGCGAAUCGUGCAUACGAGAUUGUCCAGUAGUUGGGUGCUCGUAUCUUUAGAAGAUAGCCAAAUGCCUCGUCAUCUAAUUGGUGACGCGCAUGAAUGGAUUAACGAGAUUCCUACUGUCCCUAUCUACUAUCUAGCGAAACCACAGCCAAGGGAACGGUCUUGGAAUAAUUAGCGGGGAAAGAAGACCCUUUUGAGCUUGACUCUAAUCUGGCAGUGUAAGGAGACAUAAGAGGUGUAGAAUAAGUGGUAGAUGUUAUUCCUUGUGUUUGAUAUCGGCAAUGAAAUACCACUACUCUUAUUGUUUCCUUACUUACUUGAUUAAAUGGAACGUGUACCAUUUCCUAGCCAUUAUACG
rnacentral:ncRNA from 1 species